UAUAUCUUGAUGAGAAACUUACUCUGAAAACUAUGCUGACCAACCAAGCAAAAUUAACCAAAAGGAUACUGAUAAUA
rnacentral:snoRNA from 1 species